rnacentral:rRNA from 1 species
UACGAAGGGGGCUAGCGUUGCUCGGAAUCACUGGGCGUAAAGCGCACGUAGGCGGCUUUCUAAGUCAGGGGUGAAAUCCUGGAGCUCAACUCCAGAACUGCCUUUGAUACUGGAGAGCUCGAGUCCGGAAGAGGUGAGUGGAACUGCGAGUGUAGAGGUGAAAUUCGUAGAUAUUCGCAAGAACACCAGUGGCGAAGGCGGCUCACUGGUCCGGUACUGACGCUGAGGUGCGAAAGCGUGGAGAGCGAACAGG